AUUAUCCCUCUUUUUUCUUUUAUCUUUUUCGUAAAUUUGGGUCGGGUACCUAACCCAAUUACUUAAGCAUCCCAAUCCUAAAGACUAAUUAGAUGGCUUUGGAUAUCCGACAGGUUUACUUUUUUUUAUGAGAUGGAUUUAAGAUUUUUGGUCCAAUUUUUAAUUGAACUUUGGAUGAAUUUGGAUAGUAGAGUUUUAAACAAAUUUGGAUACAGGUAGGACAAAUUUUACGAAAAUACUACUUGUUGUCAUUCCUAAUACUAAGCUUGGUCAUGUAGAACCAUUCAAAUUAUGGUAAGUGUAACUUGCAGGCGUCAUCUUUAACAAACAUCAAUUAGGCUAUUGUUUAUUAUAUUACAACAGAAUUAAUAAAAACGUAAGCUCCAUAUAUUAAAGUUUAAGCUUCUCGUAACACAUAUUGCCGGGUCAUCGAUAAUGAUAAUACUUUGCAUUUAACUAACCUCGUCAACCAUCAAGUAUUGGUUAUAAAAGGGACAGAGGAUUGUGCAUUGGACGACGCGCAGCCCAUACUUCAGAGACUUGAAGAUUUGCUUAGCUUUUGAAGAGAUCGAUGCGGAUGGCUUGUCUAGAGAGCGCGAGGCUCAAGCUCGCGGUGUUGCUCUUUGUCAUGGCCUGCAGCGUUAUGACAGAUGCAUUCCCUGAACCCAAAUCUCCUCCACCACCAUCUCCUUCACCUCCAUACUAUUACUAUUCACCUCCACCACCACCACCACCUUACAAAUACACCUCACCUCCUCCACCACCUUACAAGUACUCGUCGCCUCCUCCACCACCUUACAUGUACUCGUCGCCUCCUCCACCACCCUACUACGAUUCCAAGAAAUACCCUUCUCCGCCUCCCUAUUAUGAUUAUUAUUAUCACUCACCACCACCACCACCACCACCUUACAAGUACUCAUCACCUCCCCCGCCACCAUACAAAUACUACUCGCCUCCUCCACCUUCCUACUACUACAACUCUCCACCCCCACCGGCUUAUAAAUAUACCUCGCCACCUCCACCAUCGUACUAUCACCACUCUUAUUAUUAUGACUUUCCAUCUCCACCGCCAUACAAGUACUACUCACCUCCUCCACCGCCAUACAAGUACUACUCACCUCCUCCACCGCCAUACUACUCACCUCCUUCACCUUACAAAUACUCCCCGCCUCCCCCACCUCCCUACCAUUAACGCUUCCAGAUUCCCCUCUCCACC
rnacentral:lncRNA from 1 species